AUUGAACGCUGGCGGCAUGCCUAACACAUGCAAGUCGAGCGGAUGAAGGUGGCUUUCUUCUGGAUUCAGCGGCGGACGGGUGAGUAAUGCCUAGGAAUCUGCCUGGUAGUUGGGGAGAACGUCCGGAAACGGGCGCUAAUACCGCAUCCGUCCUGAGGGAUAAAGUGGGGGUUCUUCGGACCUCACGCUAUCAGCUUAGCCUACGUUGGAUUAGCUAGUUGGUGGGGUAAAGGCCUACCAAGGCGACGAUACGUAGCCGGUCUGAGAGGGUGAUCGGCCACAUUGGGACUGGGACACGGCCCAAACUCCUACGGGAGGCAGCAGUAGGGAAACUUCGGCAAGGGACGAAAGUCUGACCGAGCAACGCCGCGGGAGUGAAGAAGGGUUUCGGAUCGUAAAACUCUGUUGGUAGAGAAGAACGUUGGUGAGAGUGGAAAGCUCAUCAAGUGACGGUAACUACACAGAAAGGGACGGCUAACUACGUG
rnacentral:rRNA from 1 species